CCGAUUGAGCUGGGGGGCAGGAGAGCUGGAGCUGGUUGGGGCCGCGGGGAGCGCGAGAAAGGUGGAGCUGGGGGGUGGUCGGGGCCAAGGGGGAGCGCGAGAAAGGUGGAGCUGGGGUUGGUCACCGCCUGUCUGUGGUGGGGGAGGUGAGAGGUGGAGCUGGGGUUGGUCAAAGCCUGCCUGGGAAGGGUGGGGUGAGAGGUGGAGCUGGGGUAGGGUGACCAGGUGUCCGGUUUUGGACCAGAACACCCAGUCGAAAAGGAAUCCUGACAGCUCCAGUCAGCACCACUGACCAGGCCGCUGAAUGUCCGGUUUGGGGCACCACAGCAGGGCUGGCAGGCUCCCUGCCAGUGCCCAGCCCACGCAACGCCCGGGUCAGGAAGCAACCGGCAUAUCCGACUCCUAGCCUUAGGGGCUGCCGGGAGGUCCACGUACUGCCUUGCCCACAGGCGCAGCUCCCAUUGGCUGGGUCAGGGCAGGAAAAGAACUAGCGCCACUUGAGAGCGCUCAGCAGGCAGCUGUUUAGGGGUCACGAGGCGUGCGCUUCUCCCUUCGCUGCCCGGCCCUCUUCUCCUCGCGCGGCUGGGCUCAAGCUGAAGCACAUGCCCUGCAGUAAACCAUGCGGUCUGUCGCCCCAUCGCCAGCACCCAGGAGUUGGAGGUACAGGGAGCCCUGCAGUAUGCAGCGGGGAGGGGAGGACAGGACUCCAAAGAAGAUGCAAACCAUGCCUGCCCGGUGAGCACAGCAGAUGAAAGGGACGGGAGCUCACAGCCUUUGGCAUGGUGACCUUGAAAGGUGCCCCCUCCAUACCAGUUGAAUGUCUGACCCACAUCAGGCAAAAAAAGAAGCAAACUAGGAAGGAUAUGCUAUGUGAGAUCCUCCAGUUGUUUAUAGCCGUGAACAGAGAGACUGGAGGGGCUGAAUGUACAAGACCAGGGAGAACUAAGAACUGCUGGAGGAGAGUCAAAUGGACCGAGAGGUGCAGCAGGAAGUGCACUAUGAUAUUAUGGCUUUGAUCAGAUUCAGUGCUUGCAGGUGGGGAAGUACUGAAUUGCCAAUUAGAAGUGCCUAGCGCAUUUCCCAGAUAUCUGGGUGGGAGAUGGAGUCUGUUUUGUAAUUUUAAGAGGAAUCCCUAGACAUUGACCCCAGCCCUGGUUGCUGCUGACACCAUCUGGCAGAAGGAUUAUACAUUUUUUUAAUCUUGGUUUUUAUAAGUAUCCUAUUAUAUUGCUUCUGAAAUGUUUUUAACUUUGUGUAGUUGAACUUUAACUUUAUCUCUUGUGUGCACACAAUAUAAUUACAUUUUGUGAAACAAGGCAUAUUUAUUAGUUAACACCAAGCAUAAAUGCCACAUUACAAAAAGUGGGGGUUAUAAUGAAUCACAAAUUGAGUGUCAACACUCUAAUUCAGUUGUGAAAAAGGCUAAUAUCAUUUUUGGGUGUAUUAAUAGGAGUGUCGUAUGUAAGAUGCAGGAGAUAAUCGUCCCACUCUACGUGGCACUAGUGAAGCCUCAGCUGGAGUAGUGUGUCCAAUUCUGGGUUCCACCAGUAGCGUAGCUGGGGGGGGGGAGCGGCCGCUCCCGCACUGAGCACAAGUGGCACCUUGUCAAUUUCCUGGCGCCUUUGUACUCACCCCGGGGGGGCAAUUUAAAA